rnacentral:lncRNA from 1 species
GUUUAUUUUCCAUUCAACAAGGUUCUAUUUUUAUUUAUUUUUUAGGCUCAAUCUCUCUCUCUCUCUCUCUCUCUCUCGCUUUGUUUAUUGGGAUCAAGGAAUGCUCUGAUUUGGAUAGUUACACCACCACAGUGUAGUUUAUGAGUUCACUAAGGCUAGCAUCAAAUGUAAUUGUGGUAAAUAACCAGUGGUCCAACUUCUUGAGAGGUGUGAGCAAAUUAGUCCAACUUUUUGUAAAAUGAGGUGAACUAGUCCUAAUAGUUGAGAUGCAGGAGCAAAAAGGUCCAAGAUAGUCCGAAUGAAGAUGAGGCAUCAUCGCGUCCGUCCGGCAGGCCAAUUUGUAUUUUUAGCAAAGAUACCCCCACCCCCGAAUGGAACAAUUAACAUCAAGGUCCACACCACAUAGGUAGAGAGAUAAUUUGACAACACCCUCCCCCCUGCGUGCUUUUCUCUCGGGUAACCGCUUCGUCUCCGCAUGUCUCUUCGUGUUGCCGCCUGGACGACGACGUCACGGGCGAUCAAGGGGCUCCU